rnacentral:lncRNA from 1 species
UCGGCUGGAAGGAACCGGUUUCUCCUUCCUUGGCCACGUCAGAGACGGCUGGGGUGCAGGCCACUCCUGCCGCAAGGUGCGGGCGUCCCCCUUGUCCCAGGGCCGUUCCUCCGUGCCCACGGCCAUGUCCCCCCUCUGGUUCUCUCUCCGCACAGAUGCAGAAUGUCAUGUACGACUUGAUCACGGAGCUCAACGACCGCAGCGAGGACCUGGAGAAGCAGAUCGGCAGCCUGGAGAGUAAGCUGGAGCACCUCACGGCCAGCUUCAACUCCCUGCCCCUGCUCAUCGCAGACACCCUGCGCCAGCAGCAGCAGCAGCUCCUGACGGCCAUCCUGGAGGCCCGGGGCGUCAGCGUGGCCGUGGGCACCACGCACGCCCCGCUCUCCGACAGCCCGAUCGGGGUCAGCUCCACCUCCUUCCCGACCCCGUACACGAGUUCAAGCAGUUGCUAAAUAAAACUCCCCUCUCCGGAAGCGUUACCCAUAGGUCUUAAGAUGCAGAUCCACUCUGUCCUGGUCGCUUUGCCAUCGCGGAACUCGGAGACCAGGGAGCGGAAAGAAGAGACGGAGCUCACUAGCUGACUCGGCCCACUCGUGCUUGGUUCGAAAUGCCUUGAAACCAGAAAUCUAAUCUCUGUUUAGGUGCCUCUACUUGGGAGCGGGACGAGGAGAGGACAGGAAGCGACGCCUCUGGCGGGGCCCUUGCUGCAGAGUUGGUGGAGAACAGAAUCCACGCUCAAUCUCAGGUCUUCACGUGGGGGUGGGAGGGGCAGGUGCUCGGAGCAGCCACGGUGAAGCCAGGCCAGAAGAGGGGCCUGGGAGAGGGGUGGGGCAGGCUUGGGGAUGGGUCCCUCGUGGGGACCUAGAGCAUGCCUCUCUCCUUCCGUCUAGAAAGCUUGGGUGACAAAAAGUAAGAGAGCUGCCCACAACUUGCCAAAACAGACAUACCCAGUUUAGACUGAAAAAAAGGUUGAUAAUGAGAACUGCACACACACACACACACACACAAAUACAAAUUAAAAGCCAGAUUUUUCCAUCCAACAUAAAUACCUAUAUAAGCCUGGGUGUUUGCACGUGCGCGCGCACACACACACACAAUUUCCCACACCCCACAUUCAGUCCAAGUCCUUUCUUGUUUGAACUUCACCCAAAUACAAAGGGACCUGAUAUUGUCCCCUGCACACAGUAGGCACUCUCUUAAUGAGUUGAGUGGGUUUGAAUAUGAACACAGGGUAUAUUCAGCCCAGGUAGUUAGGUAGUGUUGGCCACAUCCUGGGCCCCUCUGAAGACACAGGUCCCUUCCAACACAGUGCAGGUUGCUUUGCCCUGGAUACACACCGUGCAUGAUUUGAAGUGGAUGCCAAGCCAAAACUGUUGGCAUUCUGGAGGGGUAAGCAGGCUUCUGAAAAUAACAGCUUUUGCAGGGCUUCCUUCUUACAUCCAAACAAGCUGUUCUGAUGGACUACACACCCGUACUAUGUGAGGGAGGGGGUCCAGAGGAUUAUGCAUGUGUUUGCACAAUGCACCAACAGAUGCAACCCAAUGGCAUCUUGGUGGACAGAAGUAUUGUCUGGGGAUUUGCUGAGCUGUAUUCACCGAGCAGCAUGUUUCCAGCCCCUGACAUUAGAAAUGCAAAGGGUCAAGCACCUCACCUUGGAGCUGCUGAGCUGGGAGGAGAAGGAUAGAGAGUGGCCCACAUGGUCCCUUCUACCUGACCUGAAGUCACCUCAAAAUGAAAUAUUGUGAGAACAAAGGGAGUCUUUAGGGAAUCUUGUGGGUAAGGUAAGAAGAAUAGAUUUGUCAGAAGCCUAUGCAUAUUGUGCCAUGUUAAAUCUCGGUGCAAAAACAAUUUCAAUACAUCACAAAUUCCAAGAGACUCCAGAAACAUCAAGAUGCAGUGUAGUGACAGGAACCAAAUUUUUUUCUUUCAUUUCUCCAUAAUCUGUCCACACACAGUAUUUGUGUCAUGUUAUUCAUCAUUUUCCUCAUUCUGAUGUCCUUGACUUCUACUUGUGGGAAACUAAUGAUACUGUAUGGAAUAUUUCAUCUGUUUAGGGUCAAACAAAAGGGUGUUACUGCAUAGGGGGUUAUCAUUUGUGGUCGGGCUUUGUAACAAGUCAUCUCCAUUCAUAAGGCCAGGCUUUGUGGUGCAAAUUUUUAUUUUUAUUUUUAUUUUGGACUGGGGAUUGAACCCAGGGGUACUCUACCUUGAGCUACAAUCUCAGCCCUUUUUAUUUUUUGAGACAAGGCCUUGCUAAGUUGCUGAGACUGGCUUUGCAUUUGUGAUCUUCCUGUCUCAACCUCUGGAGUCCCUGGGAUCACAGGGGUGCAGCAUGGCUCCUGGUAGUAGAUUUUUCUUCUACAGCACUGGGCCUGGUCUUCUAAGGAUGAGGGAAUCACUAGACUGUAAGGUAGACAAUUCUAGAGCAAAGGCUACUCUUUCAGGAAGAUCUGGGCUCUUGCUAACCUUCUUCUUUUGGGUCUUGCUAUUGCUACCUUCCCCCCCCCCUCCCCAGUGCUGGGGAGGCAACCCAGAGCCUCACACAUUCUAAGCAAAUGCUCUGCCACUGAGUUAAACCUCAGGCCACUGCUGUUGUUUAAAUGAUCUGUCUUCUUAAAGGUUUAUCUUGAGAAUUUUCAUGGGUUGUUUUGCAUACUGGAGAUGCUACACCUGCUUUUGGCUUUUUAUAUUUUCCACUUGUUCUUUUAACUAUUGACUAUCUGGAAGACUCCCACCUCUUUUUUUCUUUUCCUUUUGUUCCAAGAAUGGUACUCCUAUUUUCAGUGACAGUUCCACCAAAUAUAUAAGCAGAUGUAUAAACAGAUGAAAUAGCCACACAGUUUAUUUGUGGCACUAAUUCUGCUUCACAACGUGCAGACCACUGAUGGUUCAACUUAAGGGUGCCAGUCCCGAUCAUUUAGACUACAGCCAUCAACUAUGGAUUCCUACUUACCCUUCCCUCCCACUAUAACUCUGUGCUGUGUGUGUGUGUGUGUGUGUGUGUGGUGUGUGCACGUGCACAUGGGUGUGUGCACACAGAGAGAUUUAGUCUUCAUUUCACAUAAAUGACUUACAGAAUUCACUGCCACUCCUCUUGCCCCAAAGUGUGUGCAGACUGUCAUUUAUCUGAAUUAUCACAGGCUGUAGAUAAUUCUUUUUAAAUCCAUUAUCGAUGCUCUUGCUAGGUCAACCCUGAAGAUGAAGUGAGCAAUGGUAGUUGAGGAAAUGGUUGGAGUUAUUUCCAGUAGCAGGAGCCAGGGGCAUCGUAGAGACACAUGGGCAUUGGUAGCAUGACUUGACCUAUUGGUAGUGCAAUAGCUAGGGUGAAUUUUAUCUUUGGCAAAAGAUACUCUUAAAAAAAAAAGUGAAUCUGCAUGUUGAUCCCUUAAUGGCAAAUGGGAUGUGACUUCUCUGUACUAGUGCUUCAGCUUUAUGUGGGGAAGUUACGAUUCUGCUGCAAGUACAAUCAACCCUUGAAGACCUAGGUGUUCAUUAUCCUGGGUGUAGCUCACCCGGAUUUUCCUCCUACAUCUUUUUGCUGAUUCCGCUGCACCUCAGCAACACAGUCAGAUGGGGGAAGGGGACCGGUGAAUUCUAAUGUCAUGCCUUCUUGUACCUGAUUCUCAAGUUUGGUCAUGGAAGAGGUUUAAUUAUCUGCUCAAGAAUGGGCUACAUGUAAAAACUAACCAUCACAGAAACCUCAGUCCAGUCCAGAACCCAUCAAUUUCCGCCCCCUUCUGGAAGGCUGACCCAGUGGCGGAGCCCCUGCUAUAACCUUUCCAAUAAUGCAGUGGCAGGUAAAAGCAUCCUAAUAAUCCACAGAAUAUCUAGACACUUGAAUUAGAAAUACAGAGCCACCCCCCUCCCAUCGCUUAAGCCAUAUUAUAGCUUCGUGUACUGAAAAGUCAGGGAUGUACUGUGAUACUUUAAGACCACUAAUCUCAGUGGAAUUUCAGGACAUAGCAUCAGUUGGUGAAUUAUACCAGACUAGAAGCUCACUCCUCCUUAGAUUGAAGUCCAAAUACAACCUGCACCUUUGGAUCAAAGGCCACAUAUCUGUGAUCAUCAUCAAUAACCAUUCUUGCCAUCUUCAUAAUAUGUCACUUCAUGCCAUCAUAUCUCUAGAAAUGCUUAAUAUAAUCCAAAAGAGCAAGAGGGGUACAGCCCUGAGUCCCCACUGAUGGCCUGACAUCUGUGGGGACCAGGGGCAUCAUAACCUCGUAAAUGAGGAGACGUGGAAAAUGUACAUGCAGGCCAGCUCUAAAGUGCUCAGUGCAAAUAGUUUUAUCAUUAAAGGUCGAGAAGGAGUAGCAUUAAAGAAAUGAUAAUUUUAAUAUAUUGGGGAUUUCCUCCUUAAAUUUUCCAUAAUUUCCUUGUGAAUAAAUCAUGAAAAAGAAGAAGACUAGUGAUACAAAAAUCAGAAUAAAUAAAAACUUAAGACUGGAUCCACAUCUUUGGCCAACUAAUAUAACCACUUUAUACCUCAGUUUCUCUGUACUUAUAAUGAAGACAAUAGUUACUAUUGCUAAGUACAAAGUAUUCAAUAGAGGAAAACAAUGAAACCAUUAUUGUCAUCGACAACAACCCAGCCUGACUCUAGCUAGUCCCCGAUUUGAUGUUGUAUUUGAAUGUAGUCAAUAGUUACCAAAAAGUAAUUAUUACAUAGCAAAUAAGUAGUGAAACUGGCAGGGAGAAAUAGCGCCUAGUUUCAGAACCACCCCUCUGCCUCCUCCAGAUUGUCACUUGAUAGACAGUGCACCCCCAAAUCAGAAUCAGUGUUUCAUCUCAGAACCAAGGAUUUUGCUACUACCAUCCAUCAUAAAAACCCAGCCGAGACACUAAUGAAGUCAUUGCACUACCAGUAGGUUGCUAUUCUUUUUUAAAAAUCACUGAAUUUAAAUCCUAAAAUUUGUCUCCAGUUUUACACAGUCAUUCUGCUUCCCUGAAGGUUGCUAGAAGCAGAUUAAGGAUCCGUUCGUGGUCAUCGGGCUGUCCCUGUUGGUUCCGCGGUGUUUGAUUUCAGUACCUUAGACAGCUAUCCGUGGCUUCCCGGCAGGCGUGGGGCAGCGCCUUCCCUCCCGCUGCAGUGUGCGGGCUUGAGGACGCCCUGGACACUAGCCCUUCCUUCCUUCCCCACUGCCGCCAGAGUCAACGUUUAGGAGAUCACUGGUACCACGAGGAAAGGAGCCUUACGGGGAGAGCUACGUCAACUUUCUGUCUGGGGUAGUGGGAAGCUCGUGCCAGGCUGCAUGAAUAGAAAUUAACACUUAACUCCUGUCAGGCGAGUAAUGCGUAGAUUUAUAUUGAGAUAGGCCACAGCUUAUUUAAGACGUACUCAGUGCAAGGGUAUAUAGAUACAUAUAGAUAGAGAAACAAUAUAACUGUGAUCUUUUUGUCUUACACCAUUACUGGAAACACCCAAACUCGAACUGGAGUUCCCUCUGAACAAAAACCAUUGUCAAAUCUUCAACGGAUGACCUCCAUACCUAGGUGCCAAGUGCCCCGUGACAGUGUUUACACACCUGGGAAUUGUAGUCUGGAAGCUGUAAUCUUGGGCCUGGACAAACAAAAGAGACGUCGUGACCAACCGAGCUGGUGGAGGAAAAGCACAAAACCCAAUACCAACCUGUACAGUUAGGAUCCCAAAGAGAUGCUGACAUUUCCGGCCAAAAACAAACAAAAAAACAAUAGUGACAAAUCAAAUCUGAUUGGAACCGCCAACAUCCAGGUUCUCGGAAGAAGGACAGGGAAUAAACGACAUUCUCUAGCUGUGUCCGUUUUUGAAUCCCAACCAGGACUGACCGACCUUCAUCAGACGUUUUUAACGGCGCAACAACUCGAUUUGGGUCCCAGACUCUCCAUUCUGCGCGGCCACAAGAGAACAACAAGAGAGCAUGACAGGAUGUUCAUGGAGGGGACAUUUCCAUGGCAAACUCAGAGACUGAAGUGUUUAUAUCCUGAAUCAGACGAGCUUCAAUAUGAAUUUGCAUCUUGCCUCUGUACUGCUUGCUAUUUUUUAAAUGAUAGGAGAAAGCAUAACAGUUUAUUUUAAAUAUGAAAUAUAUUGCUAUAUUAUAAAAUAUAUUGUAACUUUCAAUUAACAUUUUGUAUCAAACUAGUCUUUAGCAGGUCCAGUGUCAGCCUGCUCUCCCAACCACUGUUUCUGAGUACACAUCAUUGUUAGAGAUCGCCUGACUCCCAGGCCACAGGCCUGGUCCCACAACCUAUGAACUGCCAUAUUCUCAUUUUUCUAAGACCUAAAUAUUAGUGACAAAAAAAAAAUACUAUUACAAACUUAGAAGGAUGAUUCUACCCUAAAAUCUGUCAAGCCAUUUCAGAAGAGAUUUUAAAAGCCAUCACUCCUUUAAGUAACAGCACAGAGCCAGUUUAAUAAAAGUACAGAUUCUUUCUAUAGAAAUGCAAAGACCCCAUGCUAUAAAUUAGGUCUCCACUGCAGCCAACCCGUUUUCCUUUGGCCAUGUCAAAAUUGGGCACAAGGAAGAAUCCUGUUUUUCUUGUGACUCAAAAGACUCAAAAUUUCUAAGCAUUGUGAGUUGCUUAGUUGUGUGUGGGAAGAGUAAAAACGGGGUUUGAGUCCCCCCAGGCAGGGCCCAGGGAGAGCCCAUGCAGAUGUGCUUUUCUGAGUUGGCAAUUUCCUGAAGGGAGCGCGGUUUCCACGUGUCUGUCACCAACGUGGAGCCCGGCUCUUGUGGCAAGAAGAGGCAGGACACCCACAGGAGGAUCCAGCAAAGAGCUGGGCUCCCUGUUCUGCUCAUUUACCCUUAGCUGGAGGAAUCCUUUUCGGCUAAGAUGUUUUCUUUUAUGGCAAAAUUAAGCAACUCAUGAAAUCCACUCCCCUCCUGCAGCUGAGACACAUGUAGAAUCUCUCAGUUCCCUCUUUUGAAUGACCACGUUCCUAUUUCUAGAUGAAAACGGAUGUAUUCAGUUACAGAACAAAGAUUUCCUCAAAUCAGUGAGCCUCCUCCAGGUGAGGACCCUCCCUUUCAGUCACGGUUUCUGUUUAGUAUUGUAUAGGUGCAAACCAAAUAGCAUAAAGGUAGGUUUAACUUAGCUUGUGUGUCUCAACACAAACGUGGGAAAUUCAACAGCUAUCCAGAUAGUACCAAACAACAGGGUUUCUCCUUGGGUGGGGGUGUGGGGGACUGGAAUCCUCCCAACUUUCAGUGUGUUUGAACUUCAAUUCUCUUGUUCAUCUCACUAAAACCAAGGCUUGGGUCUCCAUGAUGUUAGUUAUUCAUGGAGCGUGAAAGCAAAAUCUCUAAAUGCCCAUUUCAAUCUGCUUGAGUAGUUGAGUCCCAUUUUGUACACAAGUUGUGUCUGUGUGGAGCUAAAUACACUCAGCGUCUGUGUCACUCCUCAGUUACACGCUAGGCUGAGUGCCAUUAAAGCCAUCAGAACUCUGGGGCACCUGCUUUAGUUUAUUUCCUCGCUGGGUAAUGGAAAUUAGCUAAUUCUCAACUUUAUCAUUGACUGAUGAAAUGCACUGAUGGUCAUCGAUUUGUUUCUUAAUACUUUUCUGCUGCUAAAUAGAACUAUCUCUUUUGGCUUUUCCUUCUAGCACUUCCCAGACUGACAAAGAUGUUUCCAUUUAUAGAGAACAAAUACAUUCUGACCUUUCCCAACAAAGUUGUUACUCAACGAAACCAACACAAAUUCCAGAGUUGGGGAAAGCAGAACUCUGGACUGUAAUUCAAGUGCAUGGCUAUAUGCUAAUCCUUGCUACUCUGGAGUGUGGCCCAUGGGUUAGCAGCAGUAGAAUCACCUGUAAGCUCUCUAGAAAUGCAGAAUCUCAAGCCUCACAUCAAACCUGCUUAAAUCGGCCUUUUCACAAGAUCCCCAGGUGAUCUGUAUGCACAGUAAACAUUGAGAAGGGCUAGCUUCACCCCACGGUAACAGACCAACCUCAUUAAUAAUUAGAGAAUGAAACCAUUUCUUUCCUGAGCUUCAUUUACCAGAUGACUUGGUGAUGUAAAACCCCUUUAUGAUCAUAAGGAUAAAGACAAAUGCAUCUUCAAAUUCCAUUUGAAGUCAUACAGCUUGGAUGGUGUACAUGAAACAGUAGAGUCAAUAAGAGGCGGUCUUUUUCUAGCCUAAUUUAAAGAGGGCUCACUUUAUAGCCUUGAGCAACUUCAAAGCCCCUUUUAAGCUUUUUUUUUUUUUUUUUUUUCAUUUUAGCUUGUGCUAGCAAGGCCAGGAGGAUAUGAGGUGGAGCCUCAGGGCAGGUCCCCUGAAACAGAAGGCCCCCUGGGUCUCUCCGCUAGCAUAGUGCAAAGGAAGCUGCCUUUUGUGAUCUCUGUGUUUCUUCUGAACUCUCCUCCUCUAGAGGAAACUAGCAAGGGAAAUCAGUUCAACCACUGGAAACAGUCCUAAUGUCUUCUAAAGCCAAUUCUCUUAUUUCAUUGCACCAACCAAGGUGGGGAGAGAAAGAUGGGAAUUCUGAUAUUGGCGCCAUAAAUUGAUAUGUACCCAGAAACAGUUAAUGUUCUAAAUUAAUGGCUUUAACCUGUUCAUUGUAAAAAGUGCCUUGGACUUCAAUCUAAAGAGGUCAGUAUAAAUAUGUAUGUGUGUGUGUGAUGUGUAUGUAGGCAAAUAUUUACAUAUUUAUACAUACAUAGGUGCACACACGUAUACCUGCACAUUCAUAUAUAAUAUAUAUAUAUAUAUAUACAUACAUAUAUAAAUGCUUCGUAAUAUAUCAUUGCUAUUCAUAGCUCCAUUUCUUGUCCGGUCCU